rnacentral:rRNA from 1 species
AGCGUACACGGUGGAUGCCCUGGCAGUCAGAGGCGAUGAAGGACGUGCUAAUCUGCGAUAAGCGUCGGUAAGGUGAUAUGAACCGUUAUAACCGGCGAUUUCCGAAUGGGGAAACCCAGUGUGUUUCGACACACUAUCAUUAACUGAAUCCAUAGGUUAAUGAGGCGAACCGGGGGAACUGAAACAUCUAAGUACCCCGAGGAAAAGAAAUCAACCGAGAUUCCCCCAGUAGCGGCGAGCGAACGGGGAGCAGCCCAGAGCCUGAAUCAGUGUGUGUGUUAGUGGAAGCGUCUGGAAAGGCGCGCGAUACAGGGUGACAGCCCCGUACACAAAAAUGCACAUAUUGUGAGCUCGAUGAGUAGGGCGGGACACGUGGUAUCCUGUCUGAAUAUGGGGGGACCAUCCUCCAAGGCUAAAUACUCCUGACUGACCGAUAGUGAACCAGUACCGUGAGGGAAAGGCGAAAAGAACCCCGGCGAGGGGAGUGAAAAAGAACCUGAAACCGUGUACGUACAAGCAGUGGGAGCACGCUUAGGCGUGUGACUGCGUACCUUUUGUAUAAUGGGUCAGCGACUUAUAUUCUGUAGCAAGGUUAACCGAAUAGGGGAGCCGAAGGGAAACCGAGUCUUAACUGGGCGUUAAGUUGCAGGGUAUAGACCCGAAACCCGGUGAUCUAGCCAUGGGCAGGUUGAAGGUUGGGUAACACUAACUGGAGGACCGAACCGACUAAUGUUGAAAAAUUAGCGGAUGACUUGUGGCUGGGGGUGAAAGGCCAAUCAAACCGGGAGAUAGCUGGUUCUCCCCGAAAGCUAUUUAGGUAGCGCCUCGUGAAUUCAUCUCCGGGGGUAGAGCACUGUUUCGGCAAGGGGGUCAUCCCGACUUACCAACCCGAUGCAAACUGCGAAUACCGGAGAAUGUUAUCACGGGAGACACACGGCGGGUGCUAACGUCCGUCGUGAAGAGGGAAACAACCCAGACCGCCAGCUAAGGUCCCAAAGUCAUGGUUAAGUGGGAAACGAUGUGGGAAGGCCCAGACAGCCAGGAUGUUGGCUUAGAAGCAGCCAUCAUUUAAAGAAAGCGUAAUAGCUCACUGGUCGAGUCGGCCUGCGCGGAAGAUGUAACGGGGCUAAACCAUGCACCGAAGCUGCGGCAGCGACGCUUAUGCGUUGUUGGGUAGGGGAGCGUUCUGUAAGCCUGUGAAGGUGUACUGUGAGGUAUGCUGGAGGUAUCAGAAGUGCGAAUGCUGACAUAAGUAACGAUAAAGCGGGUGAAAAGCCCGCUCGCCGGAAGACCAAGGGUUCCUGUCCAACGUUAAUCGGGGCAGGGUGAGUCGACCCCUAAGGCGAGGCCGAAAGGCGUAGUCGAUGGGAAACAGGUUAAUAUUCCUGUACUUGGUGUUACUGCGAAGGGGGGACGGAGAAGGCUAUGUUGGCCGGGCGACGGUUGUCCCGGUUUAAGCGUGUAGGCUGGUUUUCCAGGCAAAUCCGGAAAAUCAAGGCUGAGGCGUGAUGACGAGGCACUACGGUGCUGAAGCAACAAAUGCCCUGCUUCCAGGAAAAGCCUCUAAGCAUCAGGUAACAUCAAAUCGUACCCCAAACCGACACAGGUGGUCAGGUAGAGAAUACCAAGGCGCUUGAGAGAACUCGGGUGAAGGAACUAGGCAAAAUGGUGCCGUAACUUCGGGAGAAGGCACGCUGAUAUGUAGGUGAAGUCCCUCGCGGAUGGAGCUGAAAUCAGUCGAAGAUACCAGCUGGCUGCAACUGUUUAUUAAAAACACAGCACUGUGCAAACACGAAAGUGGACGUAUACGGUGUGACGCCUGCCCGGUGCCGGAAGGUUAAUUGAUGGGGUUAGCGCAAGCGAAGCUCUUGAUCGAAGCCCCGGUAAACGGCGGCCGUAACUAUAACGGUCCUAAGGUAGCGAAAUUCCUUGUCGGGUAAGUUCCGACCUGCACGAAUGGCGUAAUGAUGGCCAGGCUGUCUCCACCCGAGACUCAGUGAAAUUGAACUCGCUGUGAAGAUGCAGUGUACCCGCGGCAAGACGGAAAGACCCCGUGAACCUUUACUAUAGCUUGACACUGAACAUUGAGCCUUGAUGUGUAGGAUAGGUGGGAGGCUUUGAAGUGUGGACGCCAGUCUGCAUGGAGCCGACCUUGAAAUACCACCCUUUAAUGUUUGAUGUUCUAACGUUGACCCGUAAUCCGGGUUGCGGACAGUGUCUGGUGGGUAGUUUGACUGGGGCGGUCUCCUCCUAAAGAGUAACGGAGGAGCACGAAGGUUGGCUAAUCCUGGUCGGACAUCAGGAGGUUAGUGCAAUGGCAUAAGCCAGCUUGACUGCGAGCGUGACGGCGCGAGCAGGUGCGAAAGCAGGUCAUAGUGAUCCGGUGGUUCUGAAUGGAAGGGCCAUCGCUCAACGGAUAAAAGGUACUCCGGGGAUAACAGGCUGAUACCGCCCAAGAGUUCAUAUCGACGGCGGUGUUUGGCACCUCGAUGUCGGCUCAUCACAUCCUGGGGCUGAAGUAGGUCCCAAGGGUAUGGCUGUUCGCCAUUUAAAGUGGUACGCGAGCUGGGUUUAGAACGUCGUGAGACAGUUCGGUCCCUAUCUGCCGUGGGCGCUGGAGAAUUGAGGGGGGCUGCUCCUAGUACGAGAGGACCGGAGUGGACGCAUCACUGGUGUUCGGGUUGUCAUGCCAAUGGCACUGCCCGGUAGCUAAAUGCGGAAGAGAUAAGUGCUGAAAGCAUCUAAGCACGAAACUUGCCCCGAGAUGAGUUCUCCCUGACUCCUUGA